AUUGAACGCUGGCGGCAUGCUUUACACAUGCAAGUCGAACGGUAACAGGCCGCAAGGUGCUGACGAGUGGCGAACGGGUGAGUAAUGCAUCGGAACGUGCCCAGUCGUAGGGGAUAACGCAGCGAAAGCUGUGCUAAUACCGCAUACGAUCUAUGGAUGAAAGCGGGGGACCGUAAGGCCUCGCGCGAUUGGAGCGGCCGAUGUCAGAUUAGCUAGUUGGUGGGGUAAAGGCCCACCAAGGCGACGAUCUGUAGCUGGUCUGAGAGGACGACCAGCCACACUGGGACUGAGACACGGCCCAGACUCCUACGGGAGGCAGCAGUGGGGAAUUUUGGACAAUGGGCGCAAGCCUGAUCCAGCAAUGCCGCGUGCAGGAAGAAGGCCUUCGGGUUGUAAACUGCUUUUGUACGGAACGAAACGGUCUUGGUUAAUACCCUGGGCUAAUGACGGUACCGUAAGAAUAAGCACCGGCUAACUACGUGCCAGCCGCCGCCGUAA
rnacentral:rRNA from 1 species